rnacentral:rRNA from 1 species
UACGAAGGGGGCUAGCGUUGUUCGGAAUUACUGGGCGUAAAGCGCGUGUAGGCGGCUAUCUAAGUCGGGCGUGAAAUCCCAUGGCUCAACCAUGGAAGUGCACCCGAAACUGGGCAGCUAGAGUCCUGGAGAGGAAGGUGGAAUGCUUGGUGUAGAGGUGAAAUUCGUAGAUAUCAAGCGGAACACCGGUGGCGAAGGCGGCCUUCUGGACAGUGACUGACGCUGAGACGCGAAAGCGUGGGGAGCAAACAGG